AGAGUUUGAUCCUGCUCAGAUUGAACGCUGGCGGCAUGCCUUACACAUGCAAGUCGAACGGUAGAGUAGCAAUACUCGAGAGUGGCGAACGGGUGAGUAAUAUAUCGGAACGUGCCCAGUCGUGGGGGAUAACGUAGAGAAAUUUACGCUAAUACCGCAUACGAUCUAAGGAUGAAAGCGGGGGAUUCGCAAGAACCUCGCGCGAUUGGAGCGGCUGAUAUCAGAUUAGGUUGUUGGUGAGGUAAAAGCUCACCAAGCCGACGAUCUGUAGCUGGUUUGAGAGAACGACCAGCCACACUGGGACUGAGACACGGCCCAGACUCCUACGGGAGGCAGCAGUGGGGAAUUUUGGACAAUGGGCGAAAGCCUGAUCCAGCAAUGCCCGCGUGCAGGAAGAAGGCCUUCGGGUUGUAAACUGCUUUUGUACGGAACGAAAAAGCCUUUUCUAAUAAAGAGGGCUCAUGACGGUACCCGUAAGAAUANCACCGGCUAACUACGUGCCAGCAGNCCGCGGUAAUACGUAGGGUGCGAGCGUUUAAUCGGAAUUACUGGGGCGUAAAGCGUGCGCAGGCGGGUUCUAUUAAGACAGAAUG
rnacentral:rRNA from 1 species